UACAGAGGUCCCGAGCGUUGUUCGGAUUCACUGGGCGUAAAGGGUGCGUAGGUGGUGGGGUAAGUCGGAUGUGAAAGCUCGGAGCUCAACUCCGAAAUGGCAUUGGAAACUACCCUGCUAGAGGAUUGGAGGGGGGACUGGAAUACUUGGUGUAGCAGUGAAAUGCGUAGAUAUCAAGUGGAACACCAGUGGCGAAGGCGAGUCCCUGGACAAUCCCUGACACUGAGGCACGAAAGCUAGGGGAGCAAACAGG
rnacentral:rRNA from 1 species